GUAGUAGCCUCGAUCCCAGGCCGAGUUUUCGCUUUUAUAACGGUUAGGCGAACAACUGGGCCUGGUACUAGUUGUCUGCGCAUGCGUCAGUCGUUCGUCAGAUUCUGACGAAUGGAUAUUCUCGUUCACUUUCGUGACAUUUAUAUUCGUGUACUAUCGUGUACUAGAAGUCAGUUCCCGUUUUAUCAUUAUUGGAAUCGAUUGGAAUGGCUCUUAGCUGAAGCUUCUCUCUUCUCUGAAGCUUAUUCUGAAGACUGAACAACAAGUGAAGAGGUAUAAAGCUUUGUCAAGCUUGUUAAGGUCAGAUAUUUUUGUGUGGGCCCUAUGGCCGGCUAUGCUAUCAAGUCUUGUUCAUGUUUGGCAAGAAUGUAGGUAGACUAUAGUUUCAUCAUUAAUAUGGUGGAUCAAGUGAAGAGUGUGAGCUAGAGAACUUGGUGCUGCCAUCAUCAGCUCGUCGACAAUGACACUAUAACCGAGAAAUUUAAUAUGUAUAGAUCUACACGUAUUUAAAAUGUCUACUUCUCUGUACAGGAGCAAUGGCUAAUAUCCAGCUAUCCCAACAGUGCUCCUCUUGGCUAUACUAACGGACGAGACUGGACAGUUUGAGACACAGGACUGGAGUAUGACCUGCUCAUUCGAGCGUUGCUGGGUAGCUCAGAGACAUCAAGAGAAUCUACGUUUUCUCAAGCAAUGAGUUACGAGUUGGGGC